rnacentral:rRNA from 1 species
CCUACGGGUGGCAGCAGUGGGGAAUAUUGGACAAUGGGCGAAAGCCUGAUCCAGCCAUGCCGCGUGUGUGAAGAAGGCCUUCGGGUUGUAAAGCACUUUCAGUGGGGAAGAAAGCCUUGGGGCUAAUACCCUCGAGGAAGGACAUCACCCACAGAAGAAGCACCGGCUAACUCCGUGCCAGCAGCCGCGGUAAUACGGAGGGUGCGAGCGUUAAUCGGAAUUACUGGGCGUAAAGCGCGCGUAGGCGGUCUGAUAAGCCGGUUGUGAAAGCCCCGGACUCAACCUGGGAACGGCAUCCGGAACUGUCAGGCUAGAGUGCAGGAGAGGAAGGUAGAAUUCCCGGUGUAGCGGUGAAAUGCGUAGAGAUCGGGAGGAAUACCAGUGGCGAAGGCGGCCUUCUGGACUGACACUGACGCUGAGGUGCGAAAGCGUGGGUAGCAAACAGGAUUAGAUACCCCAGUAGUC